rnacentral:rRNA from 1 species
UGGCUCAGAUUUGACGCUGGCGGCAGGCCUAACACAUGCAAGUCGAGCGGAUGAGAAGAGCUUGCUCUUCGAUUCAGCGGCGGACGGGUGAGUAAUGCCUAGGAAUCUGCCUGGUAGUGGGGGACAACGUUUCGAAAGGAACGCUAAUACCGCAUACGUCCUACGGGAGAAAGCAGGGGACCUUCGGGCCUUGCGCUAUCAGAUGAGCCUAGGUCGGAUUAGCUAGUUGGUGAGGUAAUGGCUCACCAAGGCGACGAUCCGUAACUGGUCUGAGAGGAUGAUCAGUCACACUGGAACUGAGACACGGUCCAGACUCCUACGGGAGGCAGCAGUGGGGAAUAUUGGACAAUGGGCGAAAGCCUGAUCCAGCCAUGCCGCGUGUGUGAAGAAGGUCUUCGGAUUGUAAAGCACUUUAAGUUGGGAGGAAGGGCAUUAACCUAAUACGUUAGUGUUUUGACGUUACCGACAGAAUAAGCACCGGCUAACUCUGUGCCAGCAGCCGCGGUAAUACAGAGGGUGCAAGCGUUAAUCGGAAUUACUGGGCGUAAAGCGCGCGUAGGUGGUUUGUUAAGUUGGAUGUGAAAGCCCCGGGCUCAACCUGGGAACUGCAUCCAAAACUGGCAAGCUAGAGUACGGUAGAGGGUGGUGGAAUUUCCUGUGUAGCGGUGAAAUGCGUAGAUAUAGGAAGGAACACCAGUGGCGAAGGCGACCACCUGGACUGAUACUGACACUGAGGUGCGAAAGCGUGGGGAGCAAACAGGAUUAGAUACCCUGGUAGUCCACGCCGUAAACGAUGUCAACUAGCCGUUGGAAUCCUUGAGAUUUUAGUGGCGCAGCUAACGCAUUAAGUGACC